rnacentral:lncRNA from 1 species
UUUAAAACCUCCUGUCCCCCCCAGGCGCCACGGCGGACCUCUCUGCAAUGUCACCUCACCUCCAUCCUCACUGUCUUAACCUGGGCCACCUUCCUAGCCUGGCCUCGGCCACGGCAGGAUGCGGGCGUCUCCAGCUGGCCCCUCCUCCUCCUGUUCCCCAGCCACCUCCCAGCCUCCCGAGCGUGCCACCACCUGAGCCAUCGCUGAAAACAAUGCUGAUCGCAGCCUUUCUCAGCCUAAACCAUCUGCCGGCUCCCAAUUUCCUGGAGCUAGAAUCCUUAGGGGUCACCCAAGGCUCUCCUGGGCUGGCCCAGUCCACCCUCUGUCCCCUUCCUGCGCACCCCACCCAUGCUAGGCGUCUCCCCAAGACGCAGUGCCCGUUUAACCCGGCUGUGACUGGUGUGUCAGAGCGUUCCCUCUGCCUGGUGUGUCCUUCCCCAGCUCUGCCCGUCCAAACCCCAUCCGUCCUUCCCUCUGAGAGACCCUCACGCUUACACCCGCACAGAGGCCACGAUCGGGUCCUGACCUGCGGGCGUGUCUACCUCACCCCUGUGGGAUGUGGGGGUUCCUUGUGGGCGGGAACAGCGACUUACUCGUUCUCCCGUCCCUUCUCAACACCCAACAGGGGGUCCAGCACAGAGCGUGCACUCAACACUCGUGUACAUGGGAUUCAAGGUGACUCUGGGUCUAGAGUCACAGAAUCUCGUGUUGAGCUAAUCUUAAGAGACUUCCCUGCCUCCCUCCCCACCAGCUGACUCUGAAGGCCAGUGACCACAGCCUCCAGGCCGGCCAAGCAGGCCCUUGGAGCCCCUCCAGGGAAGGACAACUUGAAGCUGUCCUGGCUGUUAGACGCGUCUAACAUCUCUGAUCUGCUCCAGCCUCUGGGUCCCUAUAGCUCCACUCCCCGGCCCUCGUCUUUGCCAUCUGGGGCCCUGGAGAACAGGCCCAUCUCUUUUCCCCAGGACAGUCCUUCCAAGGACUGACCACAGCCAUCCCGUGGCCCCGAGCGUCCUCAGAUCCAGGCGAGACCUUCUCAGUGUCUUUCCCUUUCCUUAUAGCGCAGGCUGCAAUGCCCCUCCCACUGCCUCGGCCACCCUUCUGCAACCACGUCUCAGGCUGUCAUCGUCCCUCUUAAGAACGGAGCUCUGAAUGGGGCCUCACACCAGACGUGGCUGAUGGCACCGAGUACAGAAGGACUGGAACCUCGCAAACUUGGGCCAUCCUUUGCUAGCCUGCCCUGUCCUCCAGGCCUGGAAAUCUCUGGGUUCCUGGCAUCUCCGAGCUCCCGUUCCUUUGAAACUUAUGCAAAGGUCUUUUUUGACUGGGUGGGGCCCCAGACGUGUGGCGGGUCCUACUCUGCGACCUCCUCAGGGAGCUGGGUCUCGUAGGAGCAAGGAAACAGAGCACGCGUGUGGGUAUUUGGAAAUGGAAUUCUCCAGUGUGGAUGGACCCAGCUGUGGGAUGAAUCCAUUCUCAGCAUGCACGGAGGGCCCUGGGGCCGGGGGAUGAGCAGCCAGGCUCAGUCCCGGGAGCACCCAGUCUAGAUGGGAAAGACCAGGAGAUGCCCGCAUCUGAGUGGGUGAGGCCCAGGCUAACCAGCCCGUCAUCUCAUCUGAGCCAGGAGCCGCCCGAGAUCCUACCCUCCUCACCCUGGGCUGCCCCUCUGAGGGACCACAGGUUUGCCACAGACAGCCCUGAACGUCACUUCAUACAAGCUCUUCUACGACAAGGGUUGAC